CUCACAUUUACCCUGACAAAUCCAUGCUGAUUAGCUGCCAGAGGGAUGCUCUGUGGUUCUUUAUGAAAAUAAAUUGUUGGAGAGGUGCUGCAGUUAUGCCUUUUGCCCACCAGGAGCUGCCGUGGUGCCAGAAAAGAGGGCAGAUGGCUCACUGGCAGUAGCAGUCAGCAGCUGAUGAAGAGGAGGAGAGGCUGCAUUCCUCACAGUGGCCUUCCUGCAUGAUCAGGAACCUAUAUUAGAGGAGAGGACUAAGAGAAGGCUCCCCACCCUCAAGAGAACAAGGAAAUGGGACAACUGGCUUACGUCACCUACAUGGGAAUGAUGGGACAGCUCUACCCAGCAAUGUAUGGGCCCAUUCUGAAGUAUUUGGAUCUUACACACAGGACACAUAAUACAUUUUCAAGCACCUCAUGAUGAGCACUUUAUAAUGAAGGCAGCUUUGAACCCCUCCCUGCAGUGGAAUAAAAUUGAUCAGGGACUAUGGCUGGAAGGCAUUGUGCGGGGGAGCUGUUAAGAGGCAGGUUGACAGAGUCUGAGCACUGGCCCUAUGGAGUCUUGGUUACUAGAUGUAGCAUCCAUGGCCAAGAGAUUGCUUGUACCACUCACCUUUUUGACUUACACAAUGGUGUUUCAAGAGUUUCAGACAUUCAAGGGAAUCUGUGGGACAGCCCAGGGCCUGGCCUAUAUCAGAAUCCCAAAUUUGGCAGUUUAUGGUCUCACUACAUAGGCGGGGGCUGGUGCCACCAACUAUAGCUAAUGGUUAGCUGGGGUGUCCUUGUUCUGCAGGUCAUCCAGACCCCUGUUGGGAAUUCAUGGCCUGUAGGAUGCUGAAAGGUUGGGCCUGAGCUGCUGGGGACACAGAGCAAUGUCAGGAAGCCAGUAACCCUACACAUCCUUAGACAGUUAGCCAGGAUUCUUCCGUGGAGCUGCCAUUCGAUGUGCACUGGGAAGGUGACUCCACAGCUCAUGCUCCAUAGCGCAGAGAUGAAAGGGGGAGCGGUGGCUCUGUGCUGCUCUGUAUAGGGAACUGCAACAGUGACUACCCAGUUAGAUCUGGGUGUGUCUGAGAUCCAGGCUACAGUAUGUUAGUGAUUCAGGGCUUAUAAGUCCUACGUGCAGCUACCUGCAGGGAAACCAAUGCAGAGUGUGGGCCAUAUGUGCCACAGGUUCUAACCAUGUCUGCUUCCUUCUCUAUGCCGAUCACACUGAAUAUAUUGCAGCAUGCUCACAGCUGAGGACAUGGAUUCGCAGGCACAGCAUUGUGCACUGGGCUUACAAAACAGCGUGUAAUUUGGUGAAAGGCUUGCAGCUGGGCUUUGGGAGGGAUGCGACUUUGUCUUGGUACUGCAGACAGGGCACACACUGGGACCAGCUCAUGCCCUUCUUGCAUGGGCUGGCACCCAGGAAGACACAAUGGACAUCAUCAUUAGCCACCUAGGGUAGAACAACCUUGGAAUGUGCUCCAGUCUUGAACUGAUUUUGAAGGCUAACCAGGAUAUUGGACUGCUGGCAAACAUGUUUUCUGGUGUGGGACUAAUAUGGUCAGAGAUGCUGGCCCACAGGGUUUAGCAGAUUGCCACAUAAGGUAGCUAGGGCAUGGAGGAAGGCCAGCCAGAGAAUGGCAAUGUGGCUGGAGUCCUCGGUUAUCAGACAUGGCUGCCCCCUUGUGGCAGGAACCCACUGCAGGAACUUGGUGAUUUAGGCUCCAGCUCCAUAAAGAUGAUCAUCCUGAGGGCACCACAUUAUGAGAUGGGGACAUCGUUUCUAACCCUUGUGGGCAAAACCAAACCAGGGGCCUGGGCACUACCCUGGGGGGACUGUCUUACCAAUACACUUGAUGCUGGUGCUGGCUGGAGGUUGAGGUCAAUCACCAAAAAGG